GGUGAACGCUGGCGGCGUGCCUAAGACAUGCAAGUCGAGCGGGCCGCGGGGUUUUACUCCGUGGUCAGCGGCGGACGGGUGAGUAACGCGUGGGUGACCUACCCGGAAGAGGGGGACAACCCGGGGAAACUCGGGCUAAUCCCCCAUGUGGACCCGCCCCUUGGGGUGUGUCCAAAGGGCUUUGCCCGCUUCCGGAUGGGCCCGCGUCCCAUCAGCUAGUUGGUGGGGUAGUGGCCCACCAAGGCGACGACGGGUAGCCGGCCUGAUCGGGGGGCCGGCCACAGGCGCACUGAGACCCGGGCCCCACUCCUACGGGGGGCAGCAGGUAGGAAUCUGCCGCAAUGGGCGCAAGCCGGACGGAGCGACGCCGCUGGGAGGAAGAAGCCCUUCGGGGUGUAAACUCCUGAACCCGGGACGAAACCCCCGGCGAGGGGACUGACGGUACCGGGGUAAUAGCGCCGGCCAACUCCGUG
rnacentral:rRNA from 1 species